AAUCUUUCAAUUGGAUUAAACUGAAAACUAGUCCUUUAACACAAUGGGUGAUAGUCAGUACUCUUUUUCGCUUACCACUUUCAGCCCAUCUGGAAAGCUGGUUCAGAUUGAGCAUGCUUUGACUGCUGUUGGAUCUGGUCAAACGUCGUUGGGAAUUAAAAGGUAACGCAAGGUCUAAUUUAAGUGCAAAUUUGUUGAUAUAGCAAUAGCUUUAACAU